rnacentral:ncRNA from 1 species
GUCGUAUUAGUUAGAAAGAACCAGUGACAUACUCCACUAACUCGAAAGAGGACGUAUGGGGGCUGACGCCUGCCCAGUACCGGAAGGUUAAGGAAGUUGGUCAGUGGAAACAUAAAGCUGACGACCGAAGCCCCGGUGAACGGUGUCCGUAACUAUAACGGUCCUAAGGUAGCGAAAUUCCUUGUCGGGUAAGUUCCGACCCGCACGAAAGGCGUAACGAUC